rnacentral:rRNA from 1 species
UACGAAGGGGGCUAGCGUUGCUCGGAAUCACUGGGCGUAAAGCGCACGUAGGCGGAUUGUUAAGUCAGGGGUGAAAUCCUGGAGCUCAACUCCAGAACUGCCUUUGAUACUGGCGAUCUCGAGUCCGGGAGAGGUGAGUGGAACUGCGAGUGUAGAGGUGAAAUUCGUAGAUAUUCGCAAGAACACCAGUGGCGAAGGCGGCUCACUGGCUCGGUACUGACGCUGAGGCACGAAAGCGUGGGGAGCAAACAGG